rnacentral:rRNA from 1 species
CCUUAGAGUUUGAUCCUGGCUCAGGACGAACGCUGGCGGCGUGCCUAAUACAUGCAAGUAGAACGCUGAAGACUUUAGCUUGCUAAAGUUGGAAGAGUUGCGAACGGGUGAGUAACGCGUAGGUAACCUGCCUACUAGCGGGGGAUAACUAUUGGAAACGAUAGCUAAUACCGCAUAACAGCAUUUAACCCAUGUUAGAUGCUUGAAAGGAGCAAUUGCUUCACUAGUAGAUGGACCUGCGUUGUAUUAGCUAGUUGGUGAGGUAACGGCUCACCAAGGCGACGAUACAUAGCCGACCUGAGAGGGUGAUCGGCCACACUGGGACUGAGACACGGCCCAGACUCCUACGGGAGGCAGCAGUAGGGAAUCUUCGGCAAUGGGGGCAACCCUGACCGAGCAACGCCGCGUGAGUGAAGAAGGUUUUCGGAUCGUAAAGCUCUGUUGUAAGAGAAGAACGUGUGUGAGAGUGGAAAGUUCACACAGUGACGGUAACUUACCAGAAAGGGACGGCUAACUACGUGCCAGCAGCCGCGGUAAUACGUAGGUCCCGAGCGUUGUCCGGAUUUAUUGGGCGUAAAGCGAGCGCAGGCGGUUUAAUAAGUCUGAAGUUAAAGGCAGUGGCUUAACCAUUGUUCGCUUUGGAAACUGUUAGACUUAAGUGCAGAAGGGGAGAGUGGAAUUCCAUGUGUAGCGGUGAAAUGCGUAGAUAUAUGGAGGAACACCGGUGGCGAAAGCGGCUCUCUGGUCUGUAACUGACGCUGAGGCUCGAAAGCGUGGGGAGCAAACAGGAUUAGAUACCCUGGUAGUCCACGCCGUAAACGAUGAGUGCUAGGUGUUAGGCCCUUUCCGGGGCUUAGUGCCGCAGCUAACGCAUUAAGCACUCCGCCUGGGGAGUACGACCGCAAGGUUGAAAC